rnacentral:rRNA from 1 species
GAUGAACGCUAGCUACAGGCUUAACACAUGCAAGUCGAGGGGAAACGAUAGAGAAAGCUUGCUUUUUCUAGGCGUCGACCGGCGCACGGGUGAGUAACGCGUAUCCAACCUGCCCACCACUUGGGGAUAACCUUGCGAAAGUAAGACUAAUACCCAAUGAUAUCUCAAGAAGACAUCUGAAUGAGAUUAAAGAUUUAUCGGUGAUGGAUGGGGAUGCGUCUGAUUAGCUUGUUGGCGGGGUAACGGCCCACCAAGGCGACGAUCAGUAGGGGUUCUGAGAGGAAGGUCCCCCACAGUGGAAAUGAGACACGGUCCAAACUCCUACGGGAGGCAGCAGUGAGGAAUAUUGGUCAAUGGGCGAGAGCCUGAACCAGCCAAGUAGCGUGCAGGAUGACGGCCCUAUGGGUUGUAAACUGCUUUUAUAAGGGAAUAAAGUGAGCCUCGUGAGGCUUUUUGCAUGUACCUUAUGAAUAAGGACCGGCUAAUUCCGUGCCAGCCGCCGCCGUAA